GAACAUUAUACAAAAUCCAAGACAAAGGAAAAAAAAGGGGGAACAUUGUACCUCAAAAAUUCCAGUUUAUGGUUCAGCUUGAAUUCUAGAAUCCAGACAAGCAAGGUUUCUGUCGCAAAAUUUCUGGGUUUUUUGGUGCUACAAAUCAAAGUUUCUUUCUCUUAAAGCCCCAGUAAGCUCUUAUCUUUUUCAGCUUGGCUUGAUUACAACUUUCUCUGUAGUUCUAGCUUAUAUAGAGUCAUAAUCCUUAAUGGGUUUUCAAUUAUAUAGCUGUUUGCAUGAUCAGAGAACUGGGGUCGUUGAAUUUUCUAUGAUGGUUUAUAUUUUUUGGCAAAAAAACAAAAUCUAUAGUUGACACAUGACUGAAAUGUUAAGCAAAAGCGUAAUACAUGAUUGCUUGGAAACUAGGAACAUAUCAUUUAGUUGUAGUAACUGUAAUUUUUUUUUUUGGCUUUCUCUCCGACAAUUGAUAUUGUUCAACUUGGACUUUGAGAUUUGUUACCGUGACCCUUUUGCUUUGCGUGGAUUUUCUUGAUAUGUCUAGGAUUUCAAUGUUGUCAACUUUGUUUCUUUGUUGCUUUAGGUGCAAGGCAAUCUUAUAGUAUAUAUUGGUAUUUGAAUUAAUUAUAUUCUGGGACACAAGUGCAAAAGGAGUUUCAAAAGCUAAAGGGAUAAAGAUUUUCAUAAUAUUCCAUCUUUUCUUGUGGUUUGGACCGUUGUUUGACUAUUUUAUCAUUGAAAAGUUGCAUAUUGUUGCCAAUGGAUUUGUUCCCCUUUCUAGUGUAAUCAUCUAAUUUAAUGAGGAAUUACAGCUUAAGAUUCAACUAAGGAGACUUGUUUUUGUCAUGAAACCUAAUAGUUUAUUCCUUAAACAGUCACUAUAUUAUAUUUGAUAAAAAAGCAUCUCAUGAAUCAGAAAACUAGUAUUUCUAUAACCCAUACAAGGGGUAUUAAAUUUUCACUUUGAUGAUACUUCUUCCCUGAUAAUUACCAGAGAAAGAGAAAUUAAAUUAGACAAUGUUUGUUUUCAUUUAUAUAAAAGAAAACAAAAUUUCCAGUUAUUCUCUGUUUGAUAGGAAGGAAAGAGAGAGGAAAGGAAGGAAAAUGGUUUAAUCUAUGGUUGAGCUACAAAAUAGCACAUGUUGCUAUGUAACUCAAGCAUUAAAUUAGAACUUUUCUUUCCUUGCCCCUUUCUUUCCUUUCUACCAAACAAGUGAUAUAGUUGGUUGAACUUUGAACUACUCUGACUCUCAUGUCUUCUCAUAUAUCUUUUGUAGUCAAAUUUUCUUCUCGUCACUUAGGGCAUUAUAUAUAUCUCGGUUAGACAAAUGAAAAGUAGAACUGUGAAAAGCAAAUUGCAGUAUAUUUGGGAUGUUUCCACUAGUGGUGAUUGUAUCACAAAUAGCAACAGAUUACUUUUUUUCAGAUUUUUCAUUGUGUAUAUGGUCAGAAAUUUGUAGUUAUUAGCAUUCGAGCUGUUAGCUAAUACUGGUUUAGUACCAUUCACAAUGAGAGAAUGGAAAUACUGGACUCUACUAAGUGGGCACAGCACCUACAUGCACUAAACUAAAAUUGUUGAUGCCAUGAUUUGGAGAAAACAGGAAGAAUCGAGUUCCUGCUAAACUAUUUGUUUCUGAAUUUAUUAUUUGUGCCAUAAUUUCCUGCAUGCUACUCUGUGAUGAAAACACUCUGUCAUCAAUAAACUCUGUUAUUGCUAAUGCUAUGUAGGUUAAAUCUAAUUUGUUAUUGCCUUUUAGGUGUUUAUCAAAAUGCUUUUUUUUUUUUUUUUUAAGUUGCUCUAUCGUAGGGAAAAUAAGUCAUAUGCAAAAUGGUUUCCAUAUUGCCUUAGUUGGAUAUGUUAUUUUCUAUGAAUAAUAUAGUAGGAAUCUUGUUGCAGAUUACCCUAGGAUGGCUUGCCCAACAGCGAAGGGUGGUCGCUGCAUGGGAUGAGCAAUAUUGAAGUUGUUUUCUAGCAGUUGAAGAACACGUUUUUGGUCAAGUGAAGUAGUCUUCACAUUCCUGGGACGAAAGUAGAAGCCAGGUAUUAUUGUUCAUUAUCAUCGGUUCACUAAUCAAGAAACUUACCAAUCUUGGGUAAAUGUAGAACUAAUUCAUGUCCUUUUAGUUUGACCAGCUUCAUCUUCAGCUCUUUCUACAUCCAAGCAUAUGCUGCUCUUUUGCUAGAAGAGGGAAUUAUAACUGCUUAUCACCAUGGUCCGUAAAUGAUAUUUUCAUUGUUUAUGCACUUCCGUACUAUUGGUUUCACUUGGCAUAUCAGUAAGGAGACUAUCCACCAAGAUCCUAGCUUGCGGCUAGCACAACAUUGACAGUUAAAAUAAGGUUUCUCCCAAAAUUCUUUAUUGUUCUGUGUCAUUGGCAUUUUGGAAAACCAACUUAAACAAAUUAACUAAUCAAUCCGUACGGAUUGCAGAUGAUUGCAUAAGCAUACAGCAGCAAAAGGUUCAGUUCUCCAGUGGGAAAACUUUACUAUUAACAAGCAGUGAACCGGAGUAUUGCUCCAGAAUCCACUCGGAUGCAACCAAAAGAUUCAA
rnacentral:lncRNA from 1 species